AGAGUUUGAUCAUGGCUCAGGAUGAACGCUAGCUACAGGCUUAACACAUGCAAGUCGAGGGAAACGACAUCGAAAGCUUGCUUUUGAUGGGCGUCGACCGGCGCACGGGUGAGUAACGCGUAUCCAACCUGCCCACACUUGGGGAUAACCUUGCGAAAGUAAGACUAAUACCCAAUGACGUCUCUAGAAGACAUCUGAAGGAGAUUAAAGAUUUAUCGGUGAUGGAUGGGGAUGCGUCUGAUUAGCUUGUUGGCGGGGUAACGGCCCACAAGGCGACGAUCAGUAGGGGUUCUGAGAGGAAGGUCCCCCANAUUGGAACUGAGACACGGUCCAAACUCCUACGGGAGGCA
rnacentral:rRNA from 1 species